AUUGAGGAUCUUCAAAGCAUAAACUCACUAGUUAUACAGAGCCUAUGGACAUCCAGGAGGGAGUCUGGAUUGAUUGGCUUGUGAAAGGAUAGCCAUGAUCAAGCAAAGCAAAUUAAAUACCCAUUUUUGGGGGAGAGGUAUUCUCACAAUUAAUCUUGCUGAAAAAGAAAAGGACAAUUUCACAAAGAAACAUCACUGAAGAGCCAUAACAUGACAACAUAAUUAAUACAGAAGAAGAAGAAAUUAAAGAAUAAAGGUCAAUUCAAGAAUGCUCAAUUUUCUUGUCACAGAAGCUCAUUAUGCCACAUGGCAAAAAAACCCCAACAGCUAGAAAAAUACCUUCCAUCAAAAGAAGGCGAUAGGAAGUUUUAAUACUAAGACAAUUCAUUUCCUUUGGAUGCUGAAAGAUAGAAUAUUAAAAUAUAUGAGGGAAAAAAAAUCAGUGAUAAUAUACUCUGA